GCAGGUCCUGGGUAGAGUCCAGGUUGGCGGUUCCUGGGGCAGGGCCAGGAUAGGGCGAUCCUGGAAGCUGGGCUUCGGAAGCGUCCAGCUGUUGUUCCCCACCAGAACCAAAUGAGCGCAAGAUCUGACAAAGAAAAAAAAAGGUUCAUCUUUUAUUCCUCCAAACACUUUCAUUUAAAUCAAGAGGAUGGGAUGUGGUUAUUGCUGUGUUUUUAGACAGAAUCAACGGUUUCUGGGUCUGAGAUGUUGCAUACACCUUCUCAGUCCCUGUAUCCUGAGAUGGAGUCACCUGAGAAUCCACAGCAAGUCCUAACCAGGGAUGGGUCUGGGUGAUUAAGGAAGGUUGGCUUCAGAACUGGGCCAGGGGCACUGCUUUGCUUUUGCUGUUUUGAUCAGCUCUCUGCCUGAAGGAGACAAGAAAAACCAACGGGAACAGAUAGGGUCUCUCUCUCUGCCACCCAGGCCAGAGUGCAGUUGACGCAGGGCAGGGGAGCCCCGAAGUGGAGCAUAGUGUGUCCGGAACUGGUGGGUUCUUGGUCUCACUGACUUCAAGAAAGAAGCCGCGGACCCUCGCGAAACUCCUGGAGGGCAGAGGCAUGCCUGCCAUCUUCAUCAUUGCAUUACCACCACCCAACACUAUCGGGGGACCUGCCCUGAUAAUCAGUCUACAGGUGUAUCCAGCAGCUCCAGAGAGACAGCGACCAGCGAGAAGGGGCCAUGAUGAUGGAGGUGGUUUUGUCAAAACGAAAAUGGGGAUAUGUAGGGAAAAGAAAGAGAGAUCAGACUGUUACUGUGUCUACAUAGAAAGGGAAGACAUAAGAGACUCCAUUUUGAAAAAGACCUGUACUUUAAACAAUUGCUUUGCUGAGAUGUUGUUAAUCUGUAGCUUUGCCCCAGCCACUUUGCCCCAACCACUUUGACCCAAUCUGGAGCUCAUAAAAACAUGUGUUGUAUGAAAUCAAGGUUUAAGGCAUGUAGGGCUGUGCAGGACGUGCCUUGUUAACCAAAUGUUUGCAAGCAGUAUACUUGGUAAAAGUCAUCACCAUUCUCUCAUCUCAAUAAACCAGGGGCACAAUGCACUGUGGAAAGCCGCAGGGACCUCUGCCCUUGAAAGCUGGGUAUUGUCCAAAGUUCCUCCCCAUGUGAUAGUCUGAAAUAUGGCCUCGUGGGAUGAGAAAGACCUGACGGUCCCCCAGCGCGACACCCAUAAAAGAUCUGUGCUGAGGUGGAUUAGUCAAAGAGGAAAGACUUGCAGUUGAGAUAGAGGAAGGCCACUGUCUCCUGACUGCCCCUGGGAACUGAAUGUCUCGGUAUAAAACACGAUUGUACAUUUGUUCAGUUCUGAGAUGGGAGAAAAACCGCCCUAUGGUGGGAGGCGAGACAUGUUUACAGCAAUGCUGCCUUGUUAUCCUUUACUCCACUGAGAUGUCUGGGUGGAGAGAAACAUAAAUCUGGCUUACAUGCACGUCCAGUCAUAGUACCUUCCCUUGAACUUCAUUAUGACAUGGAUUCUAUUGCUCACGUUUGUUGCUGACCUUCUCCUUAUUAUCACCCUGCCCUCCUACUACAUUCCUUUUUGCUGAAAUAAUGAAGAUAAUAAUCAAUAAAAACUGAGGGAAUUCAGAGACCUGUGCCAGUGCAGGUCCUUAGCAUGCUAAGCGCCGGUCCCCUGGGCCCGC
rnacentral:lncRNA from 1 species